UUUAAAAAAUAUUAAUAUAUUGUGAAAAUUACACUUAACCCCCUAUAAAAAAAUUAAUUACAUAUAGGUCCUCGAAUAUUUUCCAAAUUUUAGGGGGGGCAAUUGCCCUCCCUUGCCCCCCUGGAUACGCCACUGCUUCCACAUACUUCAGUAAAUUUGUGCCAAUAAGAACACAGGUGGCCUAAGCCUUCCACGAAACAAAAUUCUCUUUCGUAAGAGUAACAAAGGAUAGCCUCUUCACGUGAAGAAUUGGUUCCUCUAAUCGAGCGACGGAUCCAUCAUCGGCGUUUGCGGAAGCUCCGGUACCUGACGAUGAUACCAUGAUGAUGAAUGAAAGUGAAUUUGGACGAAGGUGAUUUGAGUAUGAAGAAGAAUAGAAUGUGAUUGUGAUGAAUGGAACCGUGGUUUAUUCCACUGUGUUUCUUUGUAUAUAUAACUUUAUAAUAUUCAGAACCCACU
rnacentral:lncRNA from 1 species